rnacentral:rRNA from 1 species
UAAGGGGGGGGUAAAGACGGGGCCACCCCCCGCGGUAAUACCGGCGCCUCAAGGGGUAGUCGCUUUUAUUGGGCCUAAAACGUCCGUAGCCGGUUGGGUACUUUCGGGGGUAAAUCAACCAGCUUAACUGGUUGAAUUCUGCGAGGACGGCCAAACUUGGGACCGGGAAAGGUGUGGGGUACUCUCUGGGAAGGGGUAAAAUCCUGUCAUCCUGAGCGACCCCCCUGUUGCGAAGGCGCCACACUAGAACGGAUCCAACGGUCAGGGACAAAACCUAGGGGCCCAAACCGAAUUAAAUACCCGGGUAGUCCUAGGUGUAAACGCUGUGGACUUGAUGUUGGGGGUGCUCCGA